rnacentral:rRNA from 1 species
GACAGAGCCUCGAGCGUUAGGCGGAAUCACUGGGCUUAAAGCGUGUGUAGGCGGAUCGUUAAGUACCUUGUGAAAUCCCACGGCUCAACCGUGGAACGGCUGGGUAUACUGGCGGUCUUGGGCCAUUCAGGGGCGACUGGAACAAGCGGUGGAGCGGUGAAAUGCGUAGAUAUCAUUUGGAACGCCAAUGGUGAAAACAGCUCGCUGGGGGUUGCUGACGCUGAGACACGAAAGCCAGGGGAGCAAAGCGGG